AGCAGCCGCGGUAAUUCCAGCUCCAAUAGCGUAUAUUAAAGUUGUUGCAGUUAAAAGCUCGUAGUUGAAUUUCGGGAUCAAUACGUCGGUCGUGCUUCGGUACGUACUGGCGUAAUUGAUUUCUCCCUUCUGACGAACCAUGAUGUCAUUAACUUGGUGUCAUGGGAAAUCAGGACUGUUACUUUAGAAAAAUUGAGUGUUUAAAGCAGGCUCACGCUUGAAUACAUUAGCAUGGAAUAAUGAAAUAGGACGUUCGAUCCUAUUUUGUGGUUUUUAGGAUCAAC
rnacentral:misc_RNA from 1 species